rnacentral:tmRNA from 1 species
GGGGACGAUCUGGCUUCGACGUGGGUUGCAAAGCAGCGCAGGGCAUACCGAGGACCAGAACACCUCGCAAAUCCAGCUGGAAAAAAAUAGUCGCAAACGACGAAAACUACGCUUUAGCCGCUUAAUUCGGCUAGCCUCUGCACCAGUGGGCCUCAACGCUGGGUCUGGCAACAGACAGCAGAGUUAUUAACGAGGACCGCGUUCUACAGGGUUACUUUGUAGCACGUUAAAUUUAAGGUAACUCGCCUGACAAUGGCUUGCCAGUUAGUAGUUGCCAGGUUAAAUUAAAAAACAUGGCUAAGUAUGUAGAACUGUCUGUAGAGGGCUUGCGGACGCGGGUUCGAUUCCCGCCGUCUCCACCA